rnacentral:rRNA from 1 species
UACAGAGGUCCCAAGCGUUACUGAGAAUCACUGGGUUUAAAGGGUGCGUAGGUGGUCCGUUAAGUCAGUUGUGAAAUCCCCGGGCUCAACCCGGGAACUGCUUCUGAUACGGGCGGACUUGAGGCCAGUAGGGGUCACUAGAACUGACGGUGGAGCGGUGAAAUGCGUAGAUAUCACUUGGAACGCCAAAGGUGAAGACAGUCUGCUGGGGAUCUGCUGACGCUGAGACACGAAAGCCAGGGGAGCGAACGGG